rnacentral:lncRNA from 1 species
CUGGACCAAUAUCUGCAGCAACAGCAGCAAUGGCAAUUUUUAAGAAGUAGCUCGGUUAGUAAUACUGCGAUAGCUUGUUACACAUCUGAAAAUAGUUCUCUCUAAACAGCUUCUUAGACAAAGCACAGAGUGGAAAUCCCCAGCUGGAACUGAACUGGUGCUGCUGAUGUCACCUUAACAACAAAGUCAGCAAUACAGAAGAUGUAGGAAACUGUCAUAUUAUGUCAAGUUACAUUUCAGUGCCACGGCAGCCUCACCUGAAAUAAAGUAGCAGCAGGAGCAAUGACCUGCAAUCCUAGGAAUUUCCCAUGAAGAAGCCACUAUCUGCAAUAUGGGUUUAGCAGAUCUAAGGUCUUGCCAGUGAAGACAAGUUACAAAAGGAACUUGCUAGCAGUGACUCAUGCAUUUGUGGAUACAUUUCAUCAAUGACUAGCGUGAUUCCAGCUAAACUGCAGAGCCAGCUGCAAUGCAAUCCAGCAGCACAAGAAACAUAACUAGACUGGAGAAAUGCAACCAGCUGC